AAUUUUUGAAACGCAACUAAUACUGUAUACGCCUACGGGGGAAAAUUUAUUGCUAUUAGAUGAGCCUAAUUAGAUUAGCUAGUUGGUGGAGUAUUGCCUACCAAGGCAAUGAUCUAUAGCUGAUCUGAGAGGAUGAUCAGCCACACUGGAACUGAGAUACGGUCCAGACUCCUACGGGAGGCAGCAGUGGGGAAUAUUGGACAAUGGGCGAUAGCCUGAUCCAGCCAUGCCGCAUGAGUGAAGAAGGCCUUUGGGUUGUAAAGCUCUUUUAGUGAGGAAGAUAAUGACGGUACUCACAGAAGAAGUCCUGGCUAACUCCGUGCCAGCAGCCGCGGUAAUACGGAGAGGGCUAGCGUUAUUCGGAAUUAUUGGGCGUAAAGGGCGCGUAGGCGGAUUAGUAAGUUAAAAGUGAAAUCCCAAGGCUCAACCUUGGAAUUGCUUUUAAAACUGCUAAUCUAGAGAUUGAAAGAGGAUAGAGGAAUUCCUAGUGUAGAGGUGAAAUUCGUAAAUAUUAGGAGGAACACCAGUGGCGAAGGCGUCUAUCUGGUUCAAAUCUGACGCUGAGGCGCGAAGGCGUGGGGAGCAAACAGGAUUAGAUACCCUGGUAGUCCACGCUGUAAACGAUGAAUGUUAAAUAUGGGAAGUUUUACUUUCUGUAUUACAGCUAACGCGUUAAACAUUCCGCCUGGGGACUACGGUCGCAAGAUUAAAACUCAAAGGAAUUGACGGGGACCCGCACAAGCGGUGGAGCAUGUGGUUUAAUUCGAUGCAACGCGAAAAACCUUACCACAUCCUUGACAUGGAAAUUAU
rnacentral:rRNA from 1 species